rnacentral:rRNA from 1 species
CCUACGGGUGGCAGCAGUGAGGAAUAUUGCACAAUGGGGGUAACCCUGAUGCAGCAACGCCGCGUGGGUGAAGGAGCGUUUCGGCGCGGUAAGCCCUGUCUGCGGGGAAGAAGAACGGCGGUACCCGACCAAGAAGCACCGGCUAACUACGAGCCAGCAGCCGCGGUACUACGUAGGGGGCGAGCGUUAUACGGAAUUACUGGGUGUAAAGGGAGCGGAGGGGGGGAGGUAAGCCUGAAGGUGAAGCCCGGGGGCCAACCCCGGAACCGCUGUGGAAACUGGGUUGCUGGAGUAUGGGAGGGGUAAGCGGAAUGCGUGGUGUAGCGGUGAAAUGCGUAGAUAUCAGGAAGAACACCGGUGGCGAAGGCAGCUUACCGGACCCUAACUGACGUUGAGGCUCGAAAGCGUGGGGAUCGAACAGGAUUAGAUACCCCAGUAGUC